rnacentral:lncRNA from 1 species
ACGAUGGAUGGAAAUUUCGUUUGUGAAACAGACUCAAAGAAAAACUUUCUCGACGAUGAAAUAAUAAAUUACGAGAAAUCACGAUAACGUCGAUCGAAGCUCGGCACUUCCUCUACAAAUCGUCUCCAUUUUGAAGCAUCGUGAAGCACGCCAAUCGAAAACAUUAUUGGAUGUCUAUCGACAAAGAAGGAUACAAGAAGAAGUGCAAUAAUCUGGAUGAGAUCAGAAUUAAUAAACGAUCCUGUUUGGAAAAGUUUCUACUCCUUUAAGAACAUUCGUGACUCGGAGGGUGCGCGAUCCUCAACGUCGCGACGAUGUACCCGGUGUCUAUUAUACAAAGCUUUCUCGAAAGGAAAAAAAUAUAAAAAGAAUAGAGAAAAAAAUGGCAAGAAAAGAAAAGGGAACACAAAGUUUCCAUCACGCAAGUGAGAAGUCUACUCGCUUGCUCACUCGUUCAUUCGCACGCCUCUGCGAAGAUUUACGCCUGGUCGUCUGUAAUUUAAUAGAGGAUACUUUGCCGGAGUUCCUUCGAGAGUUACCUGUUCUGUUCGCACGGCCCGCGGAACGUGAGCUGACUUUGUGUCUCAGCAUAUCGUAGGGAAAUAAAAAAAAAAAUAGCUUAUGGAAAAAGGAGAAAGCGAAGAAGAAGGAAAAGAAAUGAAAGAGAAGCCAGAUUGCGCGCAGAUCGUAGUGUCGUUAUUCACCGGCUCGAAUAUCUAAUUACAAUGAAAGAGGCUGUCCACGUAGCGGGGUCCCAAUGAAAAAUUCAAUAUGAAACUGUAAUCGGGAGCUCUGUCUUUCUCCACGGAUUAGUAUCGGCGGCCUGGCCGCCUUCUUCGCUUCCAAUGUCCGUGAUUUAUGACCGGGCCACACGUAACGCGCAUCGGCUGAAUAAUUUUCUCUACCGGCUCUGUGUACGAUACUUUUCCAUUCUCAUCGAUCUCCAAGUGUCAAACUGGUAUUAGAAUCGGCCGAAUGUUGUACGAUGUCUUAUCGAGUUCUCGUCGUUGAAGGCUCAUCUUGCCCCUUCUACUUUUGGGUGAAUCAGAGUUCACAGAAAUGGAAGUAAAUCGACUGACAAAAAGGCCAAUCGAUUGCUUGGCAUUCUGAUAUUUAUUCAAGUUGAUUUCGAGAUUCGACAGAAAUUUCUAGUUUAAGACUGUGAUGCUUUCUAUAAGAAAUUUCAAAGAAAAAGCGACAGACAAAAACAAGUCCUCGAUCAAAUCCCGCAUCUAGUCUUGAAUACCUGUUUAUCUUGUAGCAAUAUCGAACCGUAGACGAGAAAGAUUAGACAUGCCUUGUUAUGAGGUGAGAUAGAGAAUUCAAAUCUUCCCUUUCGAAGCGAACUUCGUUAGCAUAACAACGAUCUGCAAGGAACACGUGGGACGUGAGACAUUCAACAAAAUGUAAAAAACGAAGAGACAUGCUUCCAAGGGAACGAAGCUGUGCAGGCGCAAUGAUAACGUCGAGGAAUUUUCACGUCACGGCUCUUAAUAAAACUUACGAAACGCACGAAACGUAAUAAACGAGCGACGUGUAUAGGUGAUACACGCGGCCAGGCGACUGACCCACUUUUUCUCAAGAUGUAUGAAUAUUAGUUUAACGAACUUGCCGCAACGAAGAUAUAUCUACCACUCUUUCCUUCUUGCUUUUUCCGUAGGUAGAUAGUAUUGCGCUUCAUGUACUUGCAUUGCACGAAUUUUUUUCCACAUUAAACGAGCCGUCUUCAACUCGGGUGGUAAUCAGCCAUCUUCUUAUUUUCACAAACGUUUUGCAUUUUAAGCACGAUGUCACGUAGAGAUUUAUCAUCAUUCUUAAUCUAAUAUCUUUCGUUAUUGAUAUUUCAAGAAUAUCUAAUAUAAAAUUGUAAAAUCUAUUUAUUAAUUUGUAAUA